rnacentral:rRNA from 1 species
AGUGAACGCUGGCGGUAGGCCUAACACAUGCAAGUCGAACGGCAGCACAGUAAGAGCUUGCUCUUACGGGUGGCGAGUGGCGGACGGGUGAGGAAUACAUCGGAAUCUACUUUUUCGUGGGGGAUAACGUAGGGAAACUUACGCUAAUACCGCAUACGACCUACGGGUGAAAGCAGGGGAUCUUCGGACCUUGUGCGAUUGAAUGAGCCGAUGUCGGAUUAGCUAGUUGGCGGGGUAAAGGCCCACCAAGGCGACGAUCCGUAGCUGGUCUGAGAGGAUGAUCAGCCACACUGGAACUGAGACACGGUCCAGACUCCUACGGGAGGCAGCAGUGGGGAAUAUUGGACAAUGGGCGCAAGCCUGCUCCAGCCAUACCGCGUGGGUGAAGAAGGCCUUCGGGUUGUAAAGCCCUUUUGUUGGGAAAGAAAAGCAGCAGGUUAAUACCCCGCUGUUCUGACGGUACCCAAAGAAUAAGCACCGGCUAACUUCGUG